rnacentral:lncRNA from 1 species
UAAACAUGGUAAUAAAAGGACAAAUCAGUGCCCAGAUUGUGCAUCUGAAGCAAGGGGCUGGCUCUGGUGCUUUAAGACACAGGAGACCCCUGGGCUCCCACUCUGACCUCACCACUCCCCAGGUCUCAAAGGAAAACAAGAAAAGGAGUGGGCUGAAAAGAAUAAAUAAGUGCCACGGGCCAGUUUUUGCAGACUCCUCCAUCAAGCUCCAUGGGCCUUGGAGAAAAUCGGAAGGCCUGUAUUUGGUUACAGUAAGACUCCAUCAGAAUUUGAAGACACAUCCAAGAAAACAUCACCUGAAGUAGAAACUGGCAAAACCAAUACCUAGGGGAUGCUCUUAGCCCAGUGGGCUGGGAUUUGUGAGUUGAUGUUGCUGAUUAGGUUGCAGCUGUGGAGCUCCAUCAUGGACACUAGUGUCAAGCACAGUGGAGAUGACUAGCCUGUUUGUUAUACAUGAAGUAAUACUGAAAAUAAAAGUUAUUUAAAAAUGCAAGUUGCUGUACUUAAUAGUAUGACAACAAAUGUGUUGGGAGGAAAGAUGCUCAGUGAGGCUGACUCUAGGGAAAAUUGAGGGUAAAACCUGUUGCUAAAGUGAUAACACAGUAUCUGCUACCAGAUAGUGUUCUGUCAAUAUGUGGGUAACAUGAUUUAUUUAUCCAUUUACAAAUUGAAGGACUUUGGGUUGUUUCAAGUGUUUCUGGCAAUGCUAAAUA